rnacentral:rRNA from 1 species
UACGGGGGGAGCAAGCGUUGUUCGGAUUUACUGGGCGUAAAGGGCGCGUAGGCGGCCAGCGCAAGUCAGUUGUGAAAUCUCCGGGCUUAACUCGGAACGGUCAACUGAUACUGCGCGGCUAGAGUGCAGAAGGGGCAACUGGAAUUCUCGGUGUAGCGGUGAAAUGCGUAGAGAUCGGGAGGAACACCAGAGGCGAAGGCGGCGACCUGGACAGACACUGACACUCAACUGCGAAAGCGUGGGGAGCAAACAGG